rnacentral:rRNA from 1 species
CAUGCAGUCGACGGCAGCACGGACUUCGGUCUGGUGGCGAGUGGCGAACGGGUGAGUAAUACAUCGGAACGUGCCCCGUUGUGGGGGAUAACUACUCGAAAGAGUAGCUAAUACCGCAUGAGAACUGAGGUUGAAAGCAGGGGAUCGUAAGACCUUGCGCAACUGGAGCGGCCGAUGGCAGAUUAGGUAGUUGGUGGGAUAAAAGCUUACCAAGCCGACGAUCUGUAGCUGGUCUGAGAGGACGACCAGCCACACUGGGACUGAGACACGGCCCAGACUCCUACGGGAGGCAGCAGUGGGGAAUUUUGGACAAUGGGCGAAAGCCUGAUCCAGCAAUGCCGCGUGCAGGAUGAAGGCCCUCGGGUUGUAAACUGCUUUUGUACGGAACGAAAAGCUUCUGGUUAAUACCUGGGAGUCAUGACGGUACCGUAAGAAUAAGCACCGGCUAACUACGUGCCAGCAGCCGCGGUAAUACGUAGGGUGCAAGCGUUAAUCGGAAUUACUGGGCGUAAAGCGUGCGCCGGCGGUCUUGUAAGACAGAGGUGAAAUCCCCGGGCUCAACCUG